UACACUGAGAAAAAAAGCAUAGUAUCGUGAACCACGGCAUUGUGCUUAAUUUUACCAUUCCCAAAUAUCGUAAACACAACCAAAAUAUUAUUCACACCUACCACAAAUCAAUAAAAUUUACUAUGCUACAUGGUAAUUGCAACAUGGUGAGGCUAACAAUACACACAUUCAGCAGUACUAUUUGAUUUUUACCAUUCACCGAGCAAACAUAGUAAUAUGGGCUCCAAACAUGUUUGCCCCAACUUUCAACAUGUUCGAGCUCACAACGCAGCAUAGUUGUUGUAAAUAUUUAAAUGCUAUAUUUAGUUUCCAGAUUGCUGUAUGUCAUUUGCUCCUCCGUUCGCCAUCUUGACAAACUUUCCGAAUUCGAGACCGGAAUAAUUUUUAGUUUAAGCCCCCGGAACAGCGGAUAAUUAAAGGUUCUAAUUGUGCAAAUCUACGGAUAGAUUUUUUUUUGCUUUAGUCUUAAGCGCGGUAAAUGGAUCCAGAAGGCCCAAAGUUAACUUCUUACGCAGACCAGGAAAGUGCCGAAAAGACAACAGUGGCCACUUGUGGUGAGGAAAUGUUAAAUCGUCACUCGCGAUCCAGAGUAACUGUUCUGUUGGCCAUUUCUUCGGUAUCCGUAUUUAAACAGUAAGAGAUAAUCUUUGCCGCAACUACACCACUUCGUGGACUGCAGCACCAAAUACGACGACGACAACCGCUAGCGAAAUCCGGUUCCCCAUGGAGGAAUUCACCCUGCAGGACCAGCACUAACCCUUCGAGUUGCUCAUUUUGCGUUUCGUUCUUUCUUUUCCGAACGGAAAAUAUUGUGUUUAUGCAUUAUAAUUGUGCUUAUUCAUAUGUUAUUUAUUUCUUGAAAACCAAUAAAGUAAUUGAAUUUAUUCAUAA